rnacentral:rRNA from 1 species
AUUCUCCGUGUCUAUGAGGAAGCUUCUGGACAAAAGGUCAACCUACAAAAAUCUUCCAUCUUUUUUGGCAAAGGUUGUGAGGAUGAAGCAAAGGCGAACAUGAAGCAAACUGUGAACAUAAGUUCUGAAGCGAUCAAUGAGAAGUGUCUCGGCUUACCAAUAGUGGUAGGGCGGUAAAAGGAAGGGUCUUUCAAGUACGUCAGGGAAAGAGCUAGUGCAAAAGUAAUGGGAUGCAAGGGACAAGGAAUGCCUAAGAGGGGUAGGGAGGUGCUGGUUAAGUCGGUGCUCCAAGCCACUCCAACGGUUGCCAUGAGUUGUUUUCAAUUCACCCAGAAAUUGUGCUGGAAUCUGACAUCCAUUUCGUCAAACUUUUGGUGGGGAGCAGAAAAUGGCAAGCGCAAGGUGCACUAG